rnacentral:pre_miRNA from 1 species
CGUCAUCAACAAUGCCAACAGAUAUUUGUUUACUCGGCAUUGUUGUGGAACACAACAAUGCCGUGUAAACAAAUAUCUGUUGGCAUUGUUGAUGACGU